CACCACCACAGCUGCUGAAAAGAGCUGCCCUUGCUGCUCUGUGGUCCUGUCUCUGUGCAGACUCCCUGCUCAGCCAGCUAAAGCACUGCUCCUCACUCACACAAUCCUAAUACCUUUUUCUCUUCUUCUGUACAGAAAAUGGUGAAGUGAUGACUGGAGCCUCACGGUGCUUUUAGGAAUUGAUGUUUACCUCCCCUUUUGAAGCGAGUCAUUGCUGAUAUGUAGCUGUUGGUUUGAAGACCUUUCCUUUUGUUCUUCUGCCGAAAUCUCAGGUCACUUUUUCAGGAUCAGCAGACUUGCAAGGAACAGCUUUGUUUAUCAGCUUUAACAGUUGAGAUUGAUUGCAAUGAUGAACACCUUAGGUUGGCCUGGAGACAGAAGGAUGGAAGCUGGAGAAAAGCUACGUCUGUGGAGUUUCUGAAGAGCUUGGGGAAAGGUCAGGAAAUAAACUCCAGGGAAAGGAAAGAGCAGAUGGUGCAUAAGAGCACAGAAGGAACAGAUCCUAGCUAUUUCCAGCACAGAGCAUCUUGGAGUCAACAGUUGAAGAAAUGAAUUAGUACACCUCUUCCCUGUGCCUGAAAUUCAUUACUUUUCCUUAAUAAGGUAUUUCUUCUUAUAACUAUUUCCCUCUU
rnacentral:lncRNA from 1 species